GGGGGGGCGGGUCGUUCAGCUGGUGUUUCCGUGAGGCCUAUUCCGCCGCUCGUGUUGGGUGUGUAGAGUCGGCAGCUGGAGGGUCAGGGGGGUUCCAGUUCUUCACUUGUGAGGAUCUAACCCUUGGAGUGUUUAGUACGCUUUUCUGACUCAGAAUGCCUCAACAACUACUCACAUGUUCAUAGUUAAAUCUCUUCUCCUGAAUUAGUUACUCAUAUAAAUUUAUCAGUUGACACCUUUGGAUUUUUUUCCCUUGAAAUUGAAUUUGCUUUAUUUGGCAAACUUUGUUAUUCCUAAAUUUGUUCAUCAGCCCCCAGAGUAAAGGAAAAUCUGAAAUGAGACCCCUGCCCCAGCCCACCACCCACCGUCUCAAAGAAAAUGAAGAGGUUUGACAGCUAAUCAUUUGACCAUAGUCACCUUGACUGCCAAGAGUAGAAAAGGCGGGACCAGACGCUACCAGGCAGAACCAACAAGGCUGUCUUCGCAGAAUGAUUGCAAGAUGUCAAUUUAACACCACUGUGUCCUGGAGAACAACCCUAAAUAAGCAUUGGCAUCUUCAAACCAGCACCUAGAUCAGCAAAGGAAUUUCUGAUU